rfam:Asian citrus Psyllid, Diaphorina citri - Florida Strain, whole genome shotgun sequence.
GUCAACGGCGAUAGCAUGUUUAAUACACCAGUUCUCAAUGGAUCACCGAGGAUAAGCAACGUUGCGCGUGGUUGGUAUACGGAUGGGUGACCAUCUGGGCAAAUGCACACUGCUGGCU